CCUUGGUUGGCUCAGUUGGUAGAGCAUGUGACUCUUGAUCUCAGGGUUGUGAAUUCAAGUCCCACACCAAGUG
rnacentral:tRNA from 1 species